UACAGGGUGACAGCCCCGUACACAAAAAUGCACAUAUUGUGAGCUCGAUGAGUAGGGCGGGACACGUGGUAUCCUGUCUGAAUAUGGGGGGACCAUCCUCCAAGGCUAAAUACUCCUGACUGACCGAUAGUGAACCAGUACCGUGAGGGAAAGGCGAAAAGAACCCCGGCGAGGGGAGUGAAAAAGAACCUGAAACCGUGUACGUACAAGCAGUGGGAGCCUCUUAAUGGGGUGACUGCGUACCUUUUGUAUAAUGGGUCAGCGACUUAUAUUCUGUAGCAAGGUUAACCGAAUAGGGGAGCCGAAGGGAAACCGAGUCUUAA
rnacentral:rRNA from 1 species